GAUGCCCCUCCUCUCUCCCAAGUCGCCGCCACCAACCGCCUCAUCAACGUCCUCUCCCCCUCGCUGCUGGCCCUCCCCUGCCCUCCUCCCACCUCGCAGCUCCGGAGGCUACCGGAUCCGCCGCAUCACCCACCCACCCACCCACUUAUCCCUCUCACAUCUCAUCUCUCUCUCUCUCUCUUGAUGCGACUCUUCGUUGCGCCACCUGCGGCGGCUGAUUCAGGCGACGUCCGGCCGGGGAAUCCCGCCAUCGCGAAGCAUAGCCUGACGUCCAAUCACACCGUGGCACCCUUCCAUGCGGCUAGAUCCGGCGGUAGCGGCCACCAAUGCCCACCCGCGACCUUUCCCCGAUGGCUAGGGCUUCGGGCGUCGGCUCAGGCGCCGGUGGCCAUGUCGUCCUCUCUUCCGUCUGAUGGUCAGGUUAUUUAGGUGGAGGUAGUAGCUUGCUAAUGGUGGCUUUCACGACCAGCGCAAAUACUAGUGGACGUGGACCUGUUGGGGAAAGCACGUACAUCUUUGUGUUUAGUGAGCAGGUUUCCGAAGAAAGAAAUACUCAAUGCCAUUCGGUGGUUUUCAAUGUGCCAGGCUCUACAUUCAUAGUACAUCAUUGAGUUUUACCUUCAAAUAAGACUAUUUCCGUUGAGGUGAUUAUUUAUUUAUUCCUUUAUUGCUUAGAUUAGCUCUAACCAUUUUUCAGCCUUCUUUUCUGCUCUUAUUCAACUAUUUAUGUACUCCUAUCUCGCAAAUUGUGUACCUAUUGUUGUGUGUAAUUUAAUGUGAGGCACCGCACUCAUCCGUUCCGGCACUGCCGAGAUGGAGGCGACAUCAUGGACGGCUGGAGCUGCGAGUAGAUUUGUCCAAGAUACAGCAGUGUCCAUAGUAAUAGUUCUGGUAACUGUCCGCGAUCUCCAGAUGAUAACUGUUUGCGAAGACGGAAAUGCAAAUUCAAAAGAUAUACGGAUGAUUACAUGGGUGCGUGGCAAUUAUACUGCAAUGAUGAUGAUGAUGUUCCUGGUUCACGAUGAAGACGAUGAUGGAUGUUCUCAGUUUUAGUUUAGUUGUAGGGAUGCUUUUCCUGUUGGAUGAUGUUCCUCGGUUAAGUUUUAGUUUAAGUUGUAGGGAUGUUGAUGGACGAUUUUAGUUUAAGUUUUGCUGCCAAGAGAAUAUUCAGGUUAUGCAUCACAUCUGGAUGUUAUUCCUCCUGUAAUAUCAACUAUUGUAAUCCUACAGUUUUUUUCAAUAUAUGAUUUCUUC